rnacentral:rRNA from 1 species
AAGACCUUGCACUUUUGGAGCGGCCGAUGUCUGAUUAGCUAGUUGGUGGGGUAAUGGCCUACCAAAGCUUCGAUCAGUAGCUGGUCUGAGAGGACGGCCAGCCACACUGGGACUGAGACACGGCCCAGACUCCUACGGGAGGCAGCAGUGGGGAAUUUUGGACAAUGGGCGCAAGCCUGAUCCAGCCAUGCCGCGUGAGUGAAGAAGGCCUUCGGGUUGUAAAGCUCUUUCAGCCGGGAAGAAAAGGUUGCGACUAAUAAUCGCAAUCCAUGACGGUACCGAAAGAAGAAGCACCGGCUAACUACGUGCCAGCAGCCGCGGUAAUACGUAGGGUGCGAGCGUUAAUCGGAAUUACUGGGCGUAAAGGGUGCGCAGGCGGUUUUGUAAGUCAGAUGUGAAAUCCCCGGGCUUAACCUGGGAAACU